GAUGAAGAACGUAGCGAAAUGCGAUACGUAGUGAGAAUUGCAGAAUUCAGUGAAUCAUCGAAUCUUUGAACGCACAUUGCACCUCUCGGUAUUCCGGGAGGUAUGCCUGUUCGAGCGUCAUUUGUACCCUCAAGCUCUGCUUGGUGUUGGGUGUUUGUUCCGCCUCUGUGUGUGAACUCGCCUCAAAACAAUUGGCAGCCGGCGUACUUGUUUCGGAGCGCAGCACAUUUUGCGAUCCAGAUCAACGUACAGCGGCAUCCAAGAAGCCUUAUUUAACGCUCUUGACCUCGGAUCAGGUAGGGAUACCCGCUGAACUUAAGCAUAUCAAUAAGCGGAGGA
rnacentral:misc_RNA from 1 species